rnacentral:rRNA from 1 species
GAGUUUGAUCCUGGCUCAGAUUGAACGCUGGCGGCAGGCCUAACACAUGCAAGUCGAGCGGAAACGAGUUAACUGAACCUUCGGGGAACGUUAACGGCGUCGAGCGGCGGACGGGUGAGUAAUGCCUGGGAAAUUGCCCUGAUGUGGGGGAUAACCAUUGGAAACGAUGGCUAAUACCGCAUAAUAGCUUCGGCUCAAAGAGGGGGACCUUCGGGCCUCUCGCGUCAGGAUAUGCCCAGGUGGGAUUAGCUAGUUGGUGAGGUAAUGGCUCACCAAGGCGACGAUCCCUAGCUGGUCUGAGAGGAUGAUCAGCCACACUGGAACUGAGACACGGUCCAGACUCCUACGGGAGGCAGCAGUGGGGAAUAUUGCACAAUGGGCGCAAGCCUGAUGCAGCCAUGCCGCGUGUAUGAAGAAGGCCUUCGGGUUGUAAAGUACUUUCAGCAGUGAGGAAGGUGGGUAUGUUAAUAGCAUACUCAUUUGACGUUAGCUGCAGAAGAAGCACCGGCUAACUCCGUGCCAGCAGCCGCGGUAAUACGGAGGGUGCGAGCGUUAAUCGGAAUUACUGGGCGUAAAGCGCAUGCAGGUGGUUUGUUAAGUCAGAUGUGAAAAGCCCGGGGCUCAACCUCGGAAAUUGCAUUUGAAAACUGGGCAAACUA